rnacentral:rRNA from 1 species
AGAGUUUGAUUAUGGCUCAGGAUGAACGCUGGCGGCGUGCCUAAUACAUGCAAGUCGAGCGAGGUAGCUUGCUACCUAGCGGCGAACGGGUGAGUAACACGUAGGUAACCUGCCUUUGAGACUGGGAUACCCGGACGAAAGUUCGGCUAAUACCGGAUAACAACGGAGAUGGCAUCUUCUCCGCUUGAAAGGUGCGUUUGCACCACUCUUAGAUGGACCUGCGGCACAUUAGCUAGUUGGUGAGAUAACAGCCCACCAAGGCGAGGAUGUGUAGCCGACCUGAGAGGGUGACCGGCCACAAUGGGACUGAGACACGGCCCAUACUCCUACGGGAGGCAGCAGUAGGGAGUUUUCGGCAAUGGGCGAAAGCCUGACCGAGCAACGCCGCGUGAGUGAAUGAAGGUCUUCGGAUUGUAAAGCUCUGUUACGAGGGACGAAACGUACGAUCAGGAAAUGGGUCGUAUUUGACUAUACCUCGCCAGAAAGUGACGGCUAACUACGUGCCAGCCGCCGC